GGUCGGGUGGCAGAGUGGUUGAAUGCACUGGUCUUGAAAACCAGCAAACGUGCAAGCGUUUCGAGGGUUCGAAUCCCUCCCCGACCGCCA
rnacentral:tRNA from 1 species